rnacentral:rRNA from 1 species
UCUUAUAGGGGUUCCUAGGGUUGAGCUUGGGCUCAGGUGUUGGGAUUGGUCACCGAUGGCGGCGGCAGGAGCACGAGCUAGGUGUUAGGGCGGCGGCCGGAGCGUGAGGUGGGGCAGCAGUUCGGCAGCACAGCCUCGCGCGUAAGGGGACGGGGGCUCGAGGUGGGGCUGUAGAUGGGCAGGAACGUGAGGUGGGGAACGGGGGCUCGAGGUAGGGUUAUGGCUCAGCGGCAGGAGCUCUAGGUGUAUGUUGGCGGCAGGAGCCCGACGGGGGAGCUGUAGGUCGGCAGCAGGAGCGGUUAGGGGCGGGACGACGACGGCUCCGGGGUAGAGGCCCGAGGGGGGCAACGGCGUGGACGACAACGGUCCGGAGGUAGAGACCCGAGGGCGACGACGGCCAGGACGACGUUACCCUGGACGACGACGACCCCUAGGUAGGGGAAGCUCGGCGCGGGGAGAGCUUCGGUCGGCAGCGGUACGGGACUCCGUUCCUUUUCUCUACCACUUCUUCCUCGAAGUCGUCCGUACUACCAAGCUAUUGGUGUUGCGCCGUUCCGGUAGGGGUAACGGGCAGUUGUGAUAAAGUCUAUUUUAGUCUUAUAAUAAAAAACCUAUUCGACCUUCCCUCCAGUAAUAGAUGUUGACGAAUGGUAGACGAUAAAGUAGAGUUUGAUUAUUGUUACCAAGUUUACUGAUCACAACGAUUGGCCCUUGGUGCUGGUGGUCGUACGUCGUACUCGUUACCCAUCUCUUAUCUACUGAUGGAACGACCCUUGGUACCAGCGCGUGCACAUCGUCUUUUGCUUACCACCUACCUUUCCGAUGCAGUGGCCCUUGGUCCUGGCGCUGAACAUCAUCCGUUGAUGGUCCGUGAAUCGGUUGACCACGUGUACCUGCACUACUGAAACGUCACAAAUACCUGGUUGGUUGGACAUUAGUACCUAGAAUAGACAGAUGAUCUGUUAAACUACAAAGCUCAUAAAACCUCGAACGUGAGACACGUACACCUACGUAUGAACACACAAGACCUGGUAGAUCGACUUCAUAGAACAUGGUCGUUUAUCACGAGUAGGAAAACACUGAACACAUGAGACCCACUAACAAUUCUACCAGUUUGAUACGAAACAGUUCUAAACUACACAAACAGUUGAACGUAAGUUACAUAUACGUACAAACACUUGUAUAAAAUUAACAAUAUGUCAUACACAAUUAGAACUUGGACG